UACAGAGGGUGCGAGCGUUAAUCGGAAUUACUGGGCGUAAAGCGUGCGUAGACGGUUAUUUAAGUCGGAUGUGAAAGCCCCGGGCUCAACCUGGGAACUGCGUCCGAUACUGGAAGGCUUGAAUCCGGGAGAGGGAUGCGGAAUUCCAGGUGUAGCGGUGAAAUGCGUAGAUAUCUGGAGGAACACCGGUGGCGAAGGCGGCAUCCUGGACCGGUAUUGACGCUGAGGCGCGAAAGCCAGGGGAGCAAACGGG
rnacentral:rRNA from 1 species